UAGAAUUUUAAAAUACCCUGUAUGUUGGAAUUUGGUUCAAUUAAUUACACGGCCAGAUAUAACUUUUUUGUUUGUUAAUCUGAUCGUCAGCUUGGUACCGAGAGGAUAUUUUGAACGUACAUCCGCAUUAUGUCGAGAGAGAUCUCAAACAAUACGUCAGCAUGGUGUGCAAAAGGGAAAUGUAACCAUACAUUACCAUGGUAUCAAACGAGUAAGGGGAUAGUCGGGCGCCAUGAUUAACUCUAUAACAUUCUGUGUAUGCCUGUAUUCAAUUUGGUCGUUUAGGGACAUAACAAGGCGGUAUAUGUUUUGCUCAUUGUUGAAAGCCGUUUGAAUUUUGUUAACUUUUAUGUCAUUUAGUCUCAGAAGGAGGGUUGCUUUGUUGGCAAUCAUUAUGAUCAUACCAGAUCUUCUUAUUUUUAUUGUUUUAUUUAUAGGCUGUACCCGCGUAUCGACAAACCUGAAGAUCAUCAACGGCACUUUCUGAAAAUUAAAUAUAUAUUAACAGAG
rnacentral:lncRNA from 1 species